rnacentral:tRNA from 1 species
GGACGGUUGACUGAGUGGUCUAAGGUGCCUGCCUCGAACGCAGGUAACGCUGCAGCACAGCGUUCGCAGGUUCGAAUCUUGCAUCGUCCGCCA